GCCUGGGUGGCUCAGUCGGUUAAGCAUCUGACUUCGGAUCAGGUCAUGAUCUUGUGGUCCAUGAGUUCAAGACCCGUGUCAGGCU
rfam:Felis catus isolate Cinnamon breed Abyssinian chromosome D4, whole genome shotgun sequence.